rnacentral:misc_RNA from 1 species
ACGAGUUUUAAUUGUUAGGUUAGAGUUGAGCUGGUUAACCUAAUUAAUAUGUGCUUACUCUAAUCGAAACAAGUCCACUCAUUACUUGACACUUGUGAACUUAUUCAUUACAAACAUUAUUAUUUGUUAUUGGAACGUUUGAUUAUUAAAAAGUUAAUA